rnacentral:RNase_P_RNA from 2 species
AAAGUUGGUUAGGCAAUCGCCCGUAAUUUAUAUUACGGGAGGAAAGUCCGGGCUCCAUAAGGCAAAGUGCCAGGUAAUUCCUGGGAAGUGAAAGCUUACGGAAAGUGCCACAGAAAUUAUACCGCCAAUUUUUUUAUUGGUAAGGGUGAAAUGGUGCGGUAAGAGCGCACCGCGCAAUUGGCAACAGUUGUGGCAGGGUAAACCCCACUUGGAGCAAGAUCAAAUAGAAAUUCAGAUAACUUGCAAAAGUUAUUGAGUGUAGCCUGCACAGAAUUUGGGUAGAUCGCUUGAGGCUUACGGUGACGUAAAGUCCAGAUGAAUGGUUGCCCCAGACAGAACCCGGCUUAUAGACCAACUUUCUUU